rnacentral:rRNA from 1 species
GACGAACGCUGGCGGCGUGCCUAAUACAUGCAAGUAGAACGCUGAAGGAGGACCUUGCUCUUCUGGAUGAGUUGCGAACGGGUGAGUAACGCGUAGGUAACCUGCCUGGUAGCGGGGGAUAACUAUUGGAAACGAUAGCUAAUACCGCAUAACAGUAGAUGUUGCAUGACAUUUGCUUAAAAGUUUCAAUUGCACCACUACCAGAUGGACCUACGUUGUAUUAGCUAGUUGGUGGGGUAAAGGCUCACGAAGGCGACGAUACAUAGCCGACCUGAGAGGGUGAUCGGCCACACUGGGACUGAGACACGGCCCAGAAUCCUACGGGAGGCAGCAGUAGGGAAUCUUCGGCAAUGGACGGAAGUCUGACCGAGCAACGCCGCGUGAGUGAAGAAGGUUUUCGGAUCGUAAAGCUCUGUUGUACGAGAAGAACGAGUGUGAGAGUGGCAAGUUCACACUGUGACGGUAUCUUACCAGAAAGGGACGGGUAACUACGUG